CCAAUGUGGAUACCUCGGGAGGUCACACUCCUUGGGCUCUGUCCAAGUGGCAUAGGGUAGCAUACAGCUCUGUCAUGUGAUGCACAAUCCCUUUCUACAAUACUGGAGAAAAAAAAUGGCCCCAUGCCUACACCUGCAUAUUCCUACAACUUCUCAGAGUCCUUUGAGCAGUGAGUGAGGAGAUAAACCAUACAGGAAAGAAUG
ensembl:snoRNA SNORA73 Small nucleolar RNA SNORA73 family